GGGAGAUGAUGAUGAAAAUAUGUUGGUCCGUGUUUCUGAUUUCAUCGUGACUGAUACUUUUUUACCAAUCUCUGAUCCC